rnacentral:lncRNA from 1 species
GAACUUUUUUCCAUUUUAAGCCAUUUUUCAUUUCAAUCAAUAGCCAUGUUAAACCAUUUUUAAGCCAACUUCCAAACAUUUACAUUAGACCAUCAUUCAAUUCCAAGUACAUAUAUUCAACCAUUACAACCAUGUUUAUACAAAUUCCAUACAUAUUUCAUAUAUUCAAUGUAUUCAAUAAACCAACUACAAAGUUCAUAUACUCCAAUAGCCAAAUCCAAAGCCCUGUAUUUUUCACUGACAAUCUCCAAGCUUCAUAACUAAUCCAAGUCCAAACAUGUAAACAUCCCUGCAAAUCCAAGCCGAGUUUGAAUCCAUCAUACACUUCAUGGCCAAUGACAACCUGCAUAACUGUAAUAGAAAAAACAUGAUUCCACAAGCAAGCCAUUGAAUUCAAGACCCUGCGUCAUUGUCCAAACAGAGGAAAAAUAAAAACCAGUCUUAGCCUGCAAGAAAAAGCUAAAUGCACUAUAACUCAGUUCUAAACAAAAUCCUCUAACUUCCUUCUUCAUUUACACUCACCAUUAAACUAACAACGUUCUAACUGAUCAUUAUCCAACUAAAUAAUUAUUUCCUAACUUCCUAACUACCUGUAAUAGAAAGCAAACAACAUAAAAUAAUUGAGAUUGUGUAUAAAAGCAUCACUACAACAUUCACUCUCUCACUUUUCUUACUCACACAAAAAUUCUCAAUCACUGAAAACAAAAUCGUCUUCUCAACUCACCUUUCAGCAAUCUCAGGAAUUUUCUCACUUUUCUUGAGAUUUCAAAAAUCAUCUCAUUCACAUUUUAUCACCUUCAUCACCCUCUGAUUCUUUCACUUUUCUGAACUCACAUAAAAAUUCUCAAUCACUGCAAAAAGAAUCAUAUUCCUCACUCAUUCUUCACAGAACAAUCAUCAUCCUCUUCACUCCUCUCAAGAAUACUCGUCAAUCCAUAUUUAUCACCAUAUAAACAAUUCUCUCACUUCAGAACCACAACACACGCAUAGAAGAAGAGAAUCGAAGGCACGUAACAGAAGAAGAAGGAGAAGACAAAGAGAAGACACGCGAACAAAGAGAACACAAAGAAGAGUUUCAAGAUUGUACCAGAAGCCAAUGUAUUAUCCUGUAGGUCUCCAUUCUUCUUUUCAUCGUUUUAUAAAAUAAAAGUUACCACUAUGUAGCCCUCCAUGAGGGGAAUCAAAGCCCCAAGGUGGAGUGGCUUGAUUCCCCUCUGUUUUGAUUUAAUUUGAAAUCUCUUAGUUAUGGUUCUUCACGUUUUCCAUUCGAUUUGAAUAGUUCAAGAAGAAUUAGGAGUUUCCAUUAUCAUUUUUGGAUUCAGGGCAUAGAAAUGGUUUAGGUGAUGUUCUCGAUUGAGUUUAAGGAGUGUCUCUGUCGCCGGAGAUGGCCUCCGACGCGACGGAGGGAGGACUGAGAGAGAAGGGAGAUGACGUGUUCCAUAGUUUAGUUUUGAGUUCUUCAACAUGUUUUGCAUGUGCAUUUUAUUACUUUUAGUUUAUUAGUUCUAGUUAUUGAUGACUCAUUUCCAUGUCAACUUCAACCUUAUCCAUUCCAAUUGCACAUGUUGAUUUUCGUGUGGGCUUGUGUGUUUGGACCUAUUUGCAU